rnacentral:lncRNA from 1 species
AGAUCGUCCAGUAGCAAAAUACACACAAGUCUGUAAAAUAGCAAAAAUGUGUUUAUCAUCACUGGGAACUUACACAUGGCAAGUCUGAAAGACACUCAUUUUAGUGUUACUUUGCUGUCUUCAAAACAUCUGA